rnacentral:rRNA from 1 species
UACAGAGGGUGCGAGCGUUGUUCGGAAUCACUGGGCGUAAAGCGCGCGCAGGCGGGCGAGUAAGUCAGAAAUGAAAUUCCGGGGCUCAACCCCGGAGCUGCUCCUGAUACUGCACGUCUGGAGACCGGUAGAGGCUGGUGGAAUUCCCGGUGUAGCGGUGGAAUGCGUAGAGAUCGGGAAGAACACCCGUGGCGAAGGCGGCCAGCUGGGCCGGUUCUGACGCUGAGGCGCGAAAGCGUGGGGAGCAAACAGG